GAUGAACGCUGACAGAAUGCUUAACACAUGCAAGUCGACUUGAACUUCGGUUUGGGUGGCGGACGGGUGAGUAACGCGUACAGAACUUGCCUCACAGAUAGGGACAACAUUUGGAAACGAAUGCUAAUACCUGAUAUUAUGAUUAUAUGGCAUCGUAUAAUUAUGAAAGCUAUAUGCGCUGUGAGAGAGCUUUGCGUCCCAUUAGCUAGUUGGAGAGGUAACGGCUCACCAAGGCGAUGAUGGGUAGCCGGCCUGAGAGGGUGAUCGGCCACAAGGGGACAGAGACACGGCCCGUACGCCAUCGGGAGGCAGCAGUGGGGAAUAUAGGACAAAGGACCAAGAGUCUGAUCCAGCAAUUCUGUGUGCACGAUGAAGUUUUUCGGAAUGUAAAGUGCUUUCAGUUGGGAAGAAAAAAAUGACGGUACCAACAGAAGAAGUGACGGCUAAAUACGUG
rnacentral:rRNA from 1 species